AGAAUUAUUAUAAUGCACAUAUAAUAUAUUUGAUUAUAUUAUUUUAAUGUUUUAGAGAUCAAAUAUUGCUGAAGAAACUUCGUAAAUGUCACAAACUAGAAAAGAAAUUAAAUUAAACAAUUAGAAAUAGCUCCGCCCUUAGUGGGUUGCGUCAUCUCUAGCGCUAAAUAGAGGUGAAUAGUCUCUCGUCACAGAGUGAAGUGAAAUGGCCGCUGGAGCAGUGAUGCGUGUCAGUUGCAGUUCUGAAGUUAAGAAAGGUUAAACGAGAAGAUAAGCUGAUUCAUCUGACGGAAACUGCAUAAAACAGAUUUUCCUUGAUUCAUCUGAGGUUAUUUCUAAUCGUUAUCAUUUUAUUCUUGGUUGGGUUUUCUUUUCCUCCACUCUUUUCUAUGUUUUGUUUCUUCUCUGUCCUUCCAUAUCUCUCUUUGAUAUUGAAUGAGGAGUUUCUUGGAGUUCUGAGUUAGAACUGUUUCUGCCAUCAACGAGGAGUGCUCAACAUUGGUGGAAACUGGCGGGCCAACCUGGUUUUUCUUGAGCUUGGACAACGUUUCAUGUUUCAUCGAAGUGGUAGGACCACACAUACUCAUUUUUUCCUUCC